ensembl:miRNA MIR4487 microRNA 4487
ACUGUCCUUCAGCCAGAGCUGGCUGAAGGGCAGAAGGGAACUGUCCUUCAGCCAGAGCUGGCUGAAGGGCAGA